CCGCAAGGCUAAAACCCAAAGGAAUUGACGGGGGCUUACACAAGCGGUGGAGCAUGUGGUUUAAUUCGAAACAACGCGCAAAACCUUACCAAUCCUUGACAUAUGAAAAACCAGGGUGUUUACCCGCUCUGUCUCUUUUAUACAGGUGCUGCAUGGCUGUCGUCAGUUCGUGGUGUGAGCUGUUGGGUUAAGUCCCAGAACGAACGCAACCCUCCUUUGAAAUGAAGGUUUACCUUUUUCAAAGACUGCCAAGGAUAUCUUGGAGGAAGGUGAGGAUGACGUCAAGUCCGCAUGGCCCUUAUGGGUUGGGCUACACACGUGCUACAAUGGGAAUGACAAAAGGAGGCAACAUGGCAACAUUGAGCAAAUCCCAAAAAGUUUCCUUAGUUCGGAUUGUUCUCUGCAACUCGAGAACAUGAAGUUGGAAUCGCUAGUAAUCGUAGAUCAGCACGCUACGGUGAAUUUGUAUCUAAGCCUUGUACACACCGCCCGUCACACUCUGAAAAUUUUCAUGCCUUGGAGCAAAAGAAGUUCACCAAGAACACACAGCGCAAUUAAAAAAAAACAUCUUCCCUUUUUUUUUCUGUGUCUUUGUUGGAACCUUUUCUAGAGUUAGGGAGGUGAUUGGAGUG
rnacentral:rRNA from 1 species